GACGAACGCUGGCGGCGUGCUUAACACAUGCAAGUCGAACGGAAAGGCCCUGCUUUUGUGGGGUGCUCGAGUGGCGAACGGGUGAGUAACACGUGAGUAACCUGCCCUUGACUUUGGGAUAACUUCAGGAAACUGGGGCUAAUACCGGAUAGGAGCUCCUGCUGCAGGGUGGGGGUUGGAAAGUUUCGGCGGUUGGGGAUGGACUCGCGGCUUAUCAGCUUGUUGGUGGGGUAGUGGCUUACCAAGGCUUUGACGGGUAGCCGGCCUGAGAGGGUGACCGGCCACAUUGGGACUGAGAUACGGCCCAGACUCCUACGGGAGGCAGCAGUGGGGAAUAUUGCACAAUGGGCGGAAGCCUGAUGCAGCAACGCCGCGUGCGGGAUGACGGCCUUCGGGUUGUAACCCGCUUUCGCCUGUGACGAAGCGUGAGUGACGGUAAUGGGUAAAGAAGCACCGGCUAACUACGUG
rnacentral:rRNA from 1 species